CCUAGAGGAUUAAGAAGGCGGGGCCUGUUAAGCAGGGCUCUGCCGAUACCCUCCUCUUAGAGAAACGGGAUGGGGAGAGGGGUCCAGCUUACAGAACAGCAGAGACCUCACUGUGCCAUCCGACAGCC